CACCCAUCCCGCUGGCUCCCCCUCCCCGCCCGUUCCAGCGGCGUCGGGAGCGCGCGGAUCUCGCGGGAGCAGCGGGCGCUAUAUAAGGGCCGCGGAGGCACCGCCUGCCCUCUUUCCCCGCCGCUCGGCGGUGAGGCGCUCCAACCCUGGGCUGAACCCGCCCCGAGGUCCCCGCACGGCCUCCCGAUGCCUUCCGUGGCUCUGCCCGCCGGGUGCCCGGCUGGUUGCUCCUCGCCCCGGGCGGCCGCUGCCGUGGGCGUGCUGGGGCUGGAGCCGCGUGUGCUGAUGCCGGCAGGGGUCACUUAGCAGUUUCAUGAUUGAAGCAGCCUGGAAAUGGAUGAUCACACCUAAAUUGAAAGCAGUUCUCAGGAUUCCUUAGGAAUGAAUAAUACCUUCUAUUAAGAAGUUUUCAGAGUCCUCAAGUGUGUUGGUACUCCUUGACCACCUAGAAUAUGCUUUGUGAGAUGGCAAUAAACAAUGUGGAGUCACAAGAGUUCCUUGUGAAUUGAUAAGUCUCUGGAGAGGAAACCAGCAAGGGAUGUGCAAGGCAUCAGAGCUGAUCUGUUGAGUGGAUGAUUAUUGACUUCACAUAAGAUUACAUAGGACAACUGAGUGAUGUUUUUGGCUUGAAUUGAAACAGUGACUCAGACUAUUACAUCUUCAAUGAUCACGCUUAAACAAUCUAGCCAUUGGUUCAACAGAAGUUUCUUAAAAGCUGUGGCAAUUUAUUUCUGUGUGGAUUGAUUGAAAUAAAGGUCAGACCAAGAGCACAGAGCAGACCUACUUCAGUCAGGUGCCUGGCUUGGAUCACCUCCUCAUCUCAUAUGUGCCUUAACGCAGCUUCCAGGAGGAUCCAUUCCCUGAUCUCCAAUGCACAGAGGUGAGGCUCCCUGGCCGGUAGUUCCCCAGGUCUUCCCUUCUACCUUUCUUAAAAAUGGGAGUGAUGUUUCCCUUUUUAUAGUCAGUGGGGACUUCACCUGACAGCCACAGCGUUGUGAAUAUGAGUGAGCAAGGCUUGGCAACUGCCUCACUUGGUUCCUUCAGGACCCUGGGAUGCGUGUGGUCUGGCCCCACAGACUUGAACACGUUCAGUCUCAUCAGAUGGUCUGGAAGAAGGUUAUUUUUAUAUCUUUCUGACAUUUUGUGUAUGUCUGCGUGACAGCAGCAGAAAGAAAAAGUCCCUUAUAAUCUGACAUCAACAUCUUGGACUCUGAAAUAGCACGUGAUUUAAAUACCUCUGGUUUUUAUUCUGAUGGGCUUCUGAAUAGUUUACAUGUAUUUUUAUUACCUUGGGAUAUGAGUACAAGUUGGAAAGCUUGAGAGGUUUCUGCACAGAAUGCAACUUGCAAAAUGCUGUUGCCAUUUCCUUGUGGAAAAGUAAAUUAGAGUCGAAUAUUUCAUGUACUGGAAAGGAGAUGGAGAGGAAUUGGUUUUCUUUCAAAACAUUAUUUUUAGUUGCCAGAUUUCAAAGCUUCAAGUAAGAGUAUUAUAUGGAUCAUCUGUUUGCUUGUAUUCUCAGCUGCACUGCAGAUCCACUCUGGCAGAAUUUCUCAUGGUAGCUUCUGUAAACUGCAUAAUUUAAGUAAUUUAAAGGAAGGAUUUUUAGGGUAGGGUUUUUCAAGAGUACUCUGAAUUGGUUUCUUUUUAGUCUUUUUGAAUUAGAGUUCAAUGUUGAUGUCAACAAAGCAAAUUUUGGCUGCUGCUGAAUACUAAAGUCAAAAUCACUGAUGUUCCUUCAUCAGUCCAGGUGACAGAGCAACUUUGGAUCAGUAAAAUCAUUUUGAUUGGCCACACUGAAGAUGUCAGUGAUGUCGCAAAGCUCAGUAUAUCUAGUCUCCACUGAAACUAAACUUGUCCUUCCUGUCUGAUGGCAUGUACCUAUCUGAACCAGAAGCAUUUCACACACCUUGCAUUUCCAAUUGCUAACUCCGCAAGAGGCGGGGUAUUCAAUACCAGGCAUUGGUUAUCAGUGUCUGCAGAUGAACAAUUUAGGAGGCUGAUGUACAGUUUGUUCACAGUCAUAACCUACUGAAAAGAUGUCUGCAACAUAAGCCACAUGAUAAAGCAGUUUACAUAGCAACCCAGUAAAGUUGCUUUGAAAGCUCCAUUUGAUGUUUCCAUAUUGCAUCAUUUUUCCUCUCUAAAUUUGUUUGCAGGCGACUUGUGCAGAAAAUGAAUUCAUUUAUGUAAUUGCUGUUAAUUUGGCUGAAAAACAAAAGCAAAACACCCAUAAGGUAAUUUCACCUCUCGUCGUUAGAAAAGCAGUUCUCCAGUUGAACACGAAUGCCUCUGAGUUGCCAAAUACAACUGGUUUUACUGGCUGUGGUUUCUGUCCUUGUUGAGUCAGUCAGCGGCAGGUGAGGUCUAGAGCUAGAGCUUCCCAACCAGAGCUCUGCAACCUGUGCUGGGGAAGGGAGGCUGCACAAGGCUGAUCAGGAUGAAGACAGCAGAAGCGUGAGACUGGUUGGAAAUAGAGAUCCCAGGCAGCCCAGGGGCACUGUGACUUCAGGAAAUAGCCAGGGGUGAGGAGGAAGGUGGUGGAAGUGGAUGGAGCUCCCUUACACUUUGCCUUCCAAUGGAAAUAUGCAUUCAGCCAGCUGCAGGCAGGACAGGGUACAGGACCCUCACUUAGGAGUUUGUUUUCUGUUCUCUCCUUGACCUACGUAUCUGUGAAUGAUUCUGAAGGAAUGUGAUCAGAGCAGUGUAAAUGAGUCCACAGUAAUUCAUAUAGAAUCAGCCCUUGUUGAGGUAGCACAGAGAAGCAUCAUAAAUAAGCUUAUGGGGAAUAUGGUGAAACUGCAUUUACACUUCUUGCCAUAAGCAAGCCAACCUGGUUAGACUUAAUUGUGAAGGGGGUUACGAAGCCUGUUUUGUCCUAAGGGAUCAGAUUCCCUGCUGUGUUGGGCAUUCAAUGGCAGUGCAAGAUUUAUUGCGUUAAUGAAUUUAUAGCAACGGUAAUUAUGAUCUUCUGCAACAGUUUUGAGCAGCUGGAAUUAGUGUUAGAUAAGCCUCCUUAUCAUCACACACCUAUAAAUAAUGGAUUUUGCUGCAUGGAGAAAAUGAAUUCUUUCCUGUGUAAUCCAUUACCUCUGUACAACAGCCAAACAUUUCAACUGCCCAAAGAGGAAAGUGCUAUUUUCUUUGAGGUUUACUUCUGCCCCAUUUAUUCAAAGCAUCUUGUUAGAUUUUCUGCCUACAGUAACGGAAAUACUGCUUAUUAGAUGAUAAUGUGUAGUAGGUUUGCCUUGAUUCAAAGCAACACGAAAAGAGCUUCCUUAAGUCCCAGGAAGAAUGAAAUUCAAGAAAAAAAAAUGUUUUAUGUAAGGUUUUGAAACCUGAAAAAUUGUAACAGAAAGGCUUUUGGUCUUGGGAAGGAAAUAUUUGUGUAUCACAUCCAGGAUACUGGGGAUAGUGGAGAGACUUUGCUUUAUUCAAAUUACAUCAGGUGAAAUCACGACCUGGCUUGAAAGGAGAAAAACAGAACACGGGACAAAAUGCUGAAAGGCAAAUACUGCUGAAAAGGAAAAUAAUACUGAACUGUAUCAUCAACUACUAUAAAACUUCCUUCUGGAAACUAAGCUCCAUUGAUUCAGUCUUGGAAAUCUCAGAUUUAUGCAAACUGAGGAGACAAGGGAAAAAAAUCAACCACAGGGUCACACCGAGGUUCUCAGAGCCCGUGUGGGAUUCAAACCCACCCUUAAAAAUAGCAAAGGGUUAAUAGUCAGCACUGAAGGCACGCAGAGUUGGCAAGGUGGGAUUGGAGGGAAGACCGGUGACUUUUUCUUCUUUAUCUGUAUUUUGUAACUGAAAAAAAAAACCCACCCAAACUCUGAUUGCUGAGACAUUUGCUAAAUAGUUGCUAAUAAUAACCAUAUUAAUCUCAUUUUAGAAUUCCUGUAGAUCUAUGCCAGAGCCUGGCAAUUUUAUUUCUUAAUGUAUGUACGCAUAUUAUGGAGGCAGGCAGCCCAUGCAUCGCUUUGUGCUCAUUUAAUCUCUCAGCACAGUGGGUAAAGCAAGAACUUUUUGUUCUCAAAACUAUUUUUAAAGGGGUUUUGAAAUCAGUAAGCUUUAAUCUUUCACCACCUCUAUUCAAUACUGUACUGGCCUACUCUACUCUUUCUUUUUUCCUACAUAUUCAGCUCCUAGCAAGUGGAAAGAACGUCACCCAGCUUUCCUUCUUGUUCCAGCAUGAGAGCAGGGAACUUAACACUGUCACACUGUAACACUUGAGAUGAUUUUCAGUUGAUACGAAAACACUGAAGGGUGAAAAUAACUGAAUGCGAGGCGCCAAAAAAAAUACCUCUGGGGCUUUUUGUCACCAGAAAAUAAGUCAAUCUCCACUAUUUUUAAGGGUGCUCGUGACCUUGCAGCUAACAUUCUAAUUGGCUUGGCAGGGUUCAAAUUACAAUUCGUUUCAGAAAUAAUACCUGGGUGCACACGUUGCUAGAGAUUGCAGAGAUGGAGGGCAGCCAUCUUAUUGAUUGCUUAGUUGGGUGAAGCACGCAUCAUCCGCAUUUGUGCUCCUGGUGAUCUGUUGUCCCAGCUGGCUGUGUGCAAACUCAGGGUACCCACGGCCAUUUUCAAUAAGCAGAUCAAUUCAGUUAAGUUGCCUACACUGCUUGUACCUUUUCCACGUGCCUAAUUAAAACUGCUGUUUGUCAGUGGUAUCAGGGUGUCAGCACUCAAGAAAGGAACUGUUCCUUUUGUUCCCGGUGCAAGUACAGUGUGAGCUCUCUCAUCCAGCUGCCCAGGAUGGCUGGGAUGAAGAGGGAAUAGUUUCCAUCCUUCAUCUAUAGAAAGAGCAACGAAGAAUGGCUGAUCUUCAACUCAGCAGUACUAGAACUAAUGGAAGAGUUGCUGCUGAAUCACAUGGGCUGUUAUGAAAAUUCUUCUAUCACAGUUAACAAAGCAUUUCCUCCUCGCUUGACUGUGUGUUGGAAAUUCCUGACCCACUGCUCCCUAGAGGAGGCAACGUUACAUUUAUCUCCCUGUAAUCAUGUACCUUUUUAUGAACCAAGCCAUUUAACAGAUAUAUUUGUUAAAAGUAUGUAAAGUUAUACGUCUGGCAGUCCACCUAGAGUACCUUAUUCAACCGUUAAAGACCAGCUUCUGUGUGCUUGAAUCAUCAUUAAUAACAUAGUCAAGAUCAGAGAAGCCAAACAAGUAUGUGCUGAAGUAUCUUGCUGAUACUGCAAAUUCCACUAGUCAAGACGUCUUUGGCUUCCUCACCUAGGAACGUGUCGGUGGAGGACAGAAGGUGAGUAGAAAUUGCAUUAAAUGCUGUUUCCCUCCAAAUCUGAAUGUUUUGCUCCCUUCCAUGUCUUCUUCCCACUGCUCAACCUUAUCCAUCCUCCUUGCACUGUGGGACAGGGAAACCCACAGUCGUAUUUCCCAAGCUCUCCCCAGCCCGUGUUGGCUGCGCUCCCACCUUCAUGGAGCCGGUGAGAGGGCUGAUCCGCACCUGCCGGAAUGCCCCGCGGCUCCACGGCAGCACAGUGGCUCCUCUGUGUCCCUGGUUAAGCUGUAACUGAUACAUAAACAGGAGCAAAAAGCCAACUUUUUGUUUGCAACAAGCAGUGCGUAAAGUUGGGGUGGAUUAGAUUUGUGUUUGGAAAAGAGAAAAUUUCAGUGGCUUUUAAACACUUGGGUUGGGUUCAGAUCCUGCAUCAUCAGGGCAAGUAUGCGAAUCUGGAUCCAGGCAAUCUUCUAAUUAUUAGAGAGACGUUUAUCUCCAUAGCCUGCAACUGUUCUCAUAUGUAAGACCGAAGUAAUAGCUUUCCCCUUUUGAAAAUUUGGGAAAAAAUAAUAACAGGCCUUUUAAGGGUCAUAUUCCUUCCUAGCACUUUCUUUUGAGGAUGAGGUGUAAUUGUGUGUCAUAUAUUAACACCAGAGUGGUGUUAACAGUGAACUGACCCUGAAGCACCAGCUGCUGCUCGUCACUGCCAGUCACACUGCACAUCAUGGUCAGAGGCCCCAGCACUGGGAAGGGAAUGGCUCUCCAUUGCCAUCAUUUGUCCAGUGGGUAAUUGAGACAGAUUUCUGCAUUGUUCCUUGAGGUCAAAAUGUGCAGAACAGAUAGAUGUGUUGUUCUGGCACAGCAAAAUCCUAUACAUAGCAGACUUCUUUAAACCAGAGCCUAUACCCUACAUUUUUUUCUCCUUCCAUUAGUUUAAAAACAGAUAAACUCGAACAGAAUAGCUUUCAAACCACCCUCUGUUUCUGCUCUCCAAAGAGACAAGCAGCAGAGCAUGGAGGAAAUGUCUCCAUGAGAGGGCCGUAUCUCUGGGUGACUUGAAGAGCUUUCCUGACUAAAGAGGUUUUCCUGACUCAACUCCCAACCUGAGACAAUGCAGCUCCUGUGGCAGCCACUUUUACUGCGAUAUCUAAAUGGCUCUGGAGUCCCAAAUGAGUUUAUCUCCUCUGAGAAAGGGGCAGGCUGCACAAAAAUUGCCUAGUUAGACAGAAGACCUAUGGCAAGGAGCGAACCUCAGAAUUCACAGUCUAUCAACUCCUUGAAAGCAUUCUUAACCUUGUUAAUAUUUUACUAAUGGGGUAGAAGCUUUUUUUUCCUUCUUCUUUUCAUUACACAUUCCCAGGUGUCUUUGCUCUACCACACUUUGUUUUAGAAUGUACUGAUUUCAGAUCAUAGCUCAAGCUGAAUCCCUGGGCCAUUUUUUCUUGCUUGUUGCUAGUACUAAAGUACCAUUGGAUGCCUUUUGCAGUAAUUCAGUGGAUAUUUACUUUUGCAGGAGAGAAGGAAAGAUGGCAGAACAUGCUGCUCUCAGAAGGUUAUUCCCCAGAAUUCUCCAGAACCAGCCUCUGACCGGGCUGCACCUUCACCCUGGUUCUACAGAGGCUGGAGGCACGGGGUCACAGACCAAGAGAUGACACAGUACAAGUAAUGAUCAUUGCAGUCUGAUUCGUGCUGGGAGCCAAUUUAGAAGUGUAAAAGCUGUGGAAAGGUGCUUCUGCAGCUUUCCUUCCCUAAGCCAGCAGUCGCCUGGCUGGAGGUGUCAGCAGGGGUGGGAGAGGAGGGCACGUUCAGCAGGCAUCAGCUCUCUCAGGACUACCAGGAACAUCUUUGGAAAAAAUAAAAGGAAAUCUGCAUUUUAAUUUACUUCUUAUGAUCUAUUUGCUUUCUUUACUUAUUUGCACUACCUAUUCUGGGUAAAAGGAAGAUUUUUUUUUCCUUUUCUGUUCUUGUUAUUAUUGACAGAAUGUUCUGACUUCUGUCUUCAGAGUGCAAUUUUGUCUAAAAAUAAAUGGUUUUAGGAUGAAAUGGAAAUCGCUAAUACAUAUUUUCAUUUUGCUUAAGGUUUGGAUAUUAGGUAAAGUGGAACUAAAUAAUAACCCUUUGGCAAAUGAAACCCUUGCACACAUUCUAUACACUCUUACCCAACAACCCAACGAUGUGGCAGCCAACGUAUGUACAAAUCUAU
ensembl:lncRNA